AAUUGUCCCAGGAACCGGCUAAUACUUCCCAGGGCUGUCACUUAGAAUGCCAUUCUACGCUCCCCGCGCCCCUCCCCGCCGGGCUGCGCCUGCGCCUGCGCCCGCGGCAGCUAUGUCUCCGCAGCGCCCUCUGCUGGACACGUAGUCAAACCUUAACUGCAAAGAACUUUCUCCGCGGGGAGGUAUGCGGGCGUCAAGCAGCGCUCCCCAACCCUUUUGUAAUAUCAAAAAAAAUGUGAUGCAACAGCCUACCGUACUGUGAAGGGUGCCAAUGAACCAUGACCUGGAAGACUAUUUUGCGGCCUUUACUGUAACUAGAUCCAUCCAUAAUUGUUCAGUGGGAUUGUAGCCAGAGGUACAAGAGCACCUGGUUCUGGGGAUUCCAAAGAGUCCAGGUUCUGCCAUUCACCGCAGACAAAAUCCAAAGGCAGAGAGACGUGUGGUGAUGAGACAAGGAAUUUCAGUGAGGCUGGUACCGGGAAGACAGAAGACUAUGGUCUCAGAGAAGGUCUCCAAAGUUCUGCACAUACUUCCAGCCUGCGAGUUGGAUGUGAUGGUUAGAGUUCCAGCCUCUAUUGCAGACCAUGUAAUUGGUGAAGAAAGGAAAAUCCUAGGUCCCUGAUGUCCAUGAAGCUACCAUGAAUGUGGACAGCAUAUCCCUGAAUUUCAUUUAUAUGAGAGAACAAAAGAAACCGUAUGUGUUUAAGCUAUUGUAGUCAAUCCCAAAGUGAUAAAAGGGGGAAUCUUCAGAGGUGCUUUUCUCCUGUGAGGACUUGUGUGCAGAGGCCGGAAGACAUCGUUUUUGAGACCUCUUUAAUUGCAAGAGAUACCAAGUAAUAUUCAGCUGUGAAAUUUAGGACAAUCUUAGAUUUUGUUAGAAAUCACAGAAUAAAAUCAUUUAAAGAAAUAAAAUGUUAUAAAAAUUUCAGG